AUUCUUACCUGAUGCCGGGGUAGCCUUGAUCAAUGAGGGGGCUCUCCCAGGACGAGGGCUAACAUUGCACUACGUUCGGGUUGACUCCUGCCACUACCCCAAGCAGGGGCAGAUGGGGCAUGCAAUUUUGGUACUGGGAGACUGCAUAUGCGCUGUCCCCCU